AACGCAAAUUGCACUCUCUGGCAACCCGGGGAGUAUGCCUGUUUGAGGGUCAGUGUUAAUAAAAAUCGGUGCGUCGCAAUUUUUUUGUGAUGUUUCCGGAGUUUGAGUUAUCUUAACUCUUCUGGGUUUUUAAGAGGCUUAAAAUUGACCUUUUUUGUGCAUUUUAGACGUACAUAAAUUUUUUUUUUAUUCGUCUAUCUUAAUGCCAAAAUCUAUUAGAUGCGACCAUAUCAUGUGGUUUCGUGUCUAUAAAUUUUUCAUGAUUUGACCUCAAAUCAGGUAGGAACACCCGCUGAACUUAA
rnacentral:misc_RNA from 1 species